rnacentral:miRNA from 1 species
CGAUUAUGAGAUGACUGGUGCA